rnacentral:lncRNA from 1 species
AGUGAUGAAUCGGAAGCCUACAAGUGCAAUUUUUAGUGAGAAAUUCUCCUAAAGUUUCUCAAUUAAUCAAAUUGAAAAAACCAACUUGUUCCUAAACUUAUUCACCAACAAAAGACCAAUUUCACUAACUAACUCAUAACUUAUUAAAUUUUUUUUGACUCGUUCAACAUUACAUAUGGUUGCAAUAAGUUGCACUAAUUUGUAACACUCCCCCUUAGUGCAAAUUUACUCUCAACAACACCAAGAGCUCCACGAAAUACUUUGAAUUUAGCUUUAGCAAGUGCAUUAGUAAAGAUGUCAACCACUUGGUCUUCAGUGCGUAUCUUCUGCAGUUCAAUAUCUAAAGUUAAAACCUUCUCUUGAACAAAAUGAUAAUGCGUUUCAAUUUGUUUUGUGUAGGUAUGAAAUAUUGGAUUUCCAGCAAGCUUAAUUGCACUUUCAUUGUCACAUUUAAUGGAAACUGGAUAGUCCAAAGCAGAAGACAUUUCUUGAAUAAGCCUCUUAAGCCAUAUACAUUCCUGAGUAGCCAUAGUAGUUGCUAUAUAUUCAGCUUCACAACUAGAAAGAGCAACUGAGGUUUGCUUUUUACUGCACCAUGAAAUUGUUGUUGAACCUGUAUUAAAACAAUAACCAAUUGUGGAGCACCUAUCAUUAACAUUACCGGCCCAAUCUACAUCAACAAAACCAGUCAAAAGGAAUGGUAUAUGCUGCUUAUACCAUAACCCAUAAUUUAGAGUGCCUUUCACGUAGUGAAGAAUCCUUUUGCUGUAAUUUAAUGACCCUCACAUGGUUUGUCCAUAAACUGAGAAAUGACUCCUAUAGAAUAUGCAAUGUCAGGCCUUGUAAUAGUUAAAUAGAAUAAACUACCAACAAGUUGUCAAAAGGGUGUUGCAUCUUUCAGUAAUUUUCCUUCACCUUUAGCUAACUUCAAACAAGGUUCCAUAGGAGUGGUCAUUGCCUUUGACUCCUCUGUGCGAAAAUGGCUUAACAAAUUUACUGCAUAUGCCUUUUGAGAGAUGAAAUAUGCAUCCGACUUUUUAACUUCAAGGCCAAGAAAAUAGCUAGCUUCACCUAAACUCUUCAUUUCAAAACAAGUAGACAAGGCAUCUUAAAGACGGGUUAUUUCAACAUUGUUAUCUCUAGUAAUGAUCAUAUCAUCCACAUAAAGAAGAAGCAUGAUGCACAUUGCAGAUGUUUUUCUGAUAAAAAAGCUUGGGUCUGCAUUAGAAGACUUGAACCUACAAAAAUCAAGAUAUUGAGCAAUAUUACCAAACCAAGCACGUGGAGCUUGCUUGAGGUCAUACUAAGCCUACUUAAACUGGCAUACAUGAUUAGGAAAUUCUUUAGAAAUAAAACAUUGUGGUUGCUCCAUAAAAAUAUCAC